AGAGUUUGAUCCUGGCUCAGGAUGAACGCUGGCGGCGUGCUUAACACAUGCAAGUCGAACGAACCUUCGGGUUAGUGGCGGACGGGUGAGUAACGCGUGAGAAUCUGCCCUCAGGAGGGGGACAACAGCUGGAAACGGCUGCUAAUACCCCAUAUGCCGCGAGGUGAAAUGAAUUUCGCCUGAGGAUGAGCUCGCGUCUGAUUAGCUAGUUGGUGUAGGUAAUGGCUCACCAAGGCAUCGAUCAGUAGCUGGUCUGAGAGGAUGAUCAGCCACACUGGGACUGAGACACGGCCCAGACUCCUACGGGAGGCAGCAGUGGGGAAUUUUCCGCAAUGGGCGAAAGCCUGACGGAGCAACGCCGCGUGAGGGAUGAAGGCCUCUGGGCUGUAAACCUCUUUUAUCAAGGAAGAAGAUCUGACGGUACUUGACGAAUAAGCCACGGCUAAUUCCGUGCCAGCAGCCGCGGUAAUACGGGAGUGGCAAGCGUUAUCCGGAAUUAUUGGGCGUAAAGCGUCCGCAGGCGGCCCUUCAAGUCUGCUGUUAAAAAGUGGAGCUUAACUCCAUCAUGGCAGUGGAAACUGUUGGGCUUGAGUGUGGUAGGGGCAGAGGGAAUUCCCGGUGUAGCGGUGAAAUGCGUAGAUAUCGGGAAGAACACCAGUGGCGAAGGCGCUCUGCUGGGCCAUCACUGACGCUCAUGGACGAAAGCCAGGGGAGCGAAAGGGAUUAGAUACCCCUGUAGUCCUGGCCGUAAACGAUGAACACUAGGUGUCGGGGGAAUCGACCCCCUCGGUGUCGUAGCCAACGCGUUAAGUGUUCCGCCUGGGGAGUACGCACGCAAGUGUGAAACUCAAAGGAAUUGACGGGGGCCCGCACAAGCGGUGGAGUAUGUGGUUUAAUUCGAUGCAACGCGAAGAACCUUACCAGGGUUUGACAUCCUGCGAAUCUCUUGGAAACAGGAGAGUGCCUUCGGGAACGCAGUGACAGGUGGUGCAUGGCUGUCGUCAGCUCGUGUCGUGAGAUGUUGGGUUAAGUCCCGCAACGAGCGCAACCCACGUCUUUAGUUGCCAGCAUUUAGUUGGGCACUCUAGAGAGACUGCCGGUGAUAAACCGGAGGAAGGUGUGGAUGACGUCAAGUCAUCAUGCCCCUUACAUCCUGGGCUACACACGUACUACAAUGCUACGGACAAAGGGCAGCAAGUUCGCGAGGACAAGCAAAUCCCAUAAACCGUGGCUCAGUUCAGAUCGUAGGCUGCAACUCGCCUACGUGAAGGCGGAAUCGCUAGUAAUCGCAGGUCAGCAUACUGCGGUGAAUACGUUCCCGGGCCUUGUACACACCGCCCGUCACACCAUGGAAGUCGGCCACGCCCGAAGCCGUUACUCCAACCCUUGUGGAGGAGGACGUCGAAGGUGGGGCUGAUGACUGGGGUGAAGUCGUAACAAGGUAACC
rnacentral:rRNA from 1 species